GUAACACGUGGAUAACCUACCUAUAAGACUGGGAUAACUUCGGGAAACCGGAGCUAAUACCGGAUAAUAUUUUGAACCGCAUGGUUCAAAGUGAAAGACGGUCUUGCUGUCACUUAUAGAUGGAUCCGCGCUGCAUUAGCUAGUUGGUAAGGUAACGGCUUACCAAGGCAACGAUGCAUAGCCGACCUGGGAGGGUGAUCGGCCACACUGGAACUAAGACACGGUCCAG
rnacentral:rRNA from 1 species